UUGAGAGCUCUUCCUCCUAGGAGCUGCUUUCUUGGGCUGUUUUAUCUGCCUGCACAUGCUUCUGCACACAAAUGCUGGGAACGUGUCUAUAUUCAAGCCUCUUCUCUGAACUGGUGCCAGCCUCUGAGCCGAUGACUGCAAGGGAAUAGUCAGUUAACAUUCCUGCACCACAGUGCGAUCCUCUUCUUCAACUGCUCAUAUUGCCUGAAGAUUUUGGCCUUGAAAUGGAAGAGAGGAAGAAGAGACCAACAGAAUUUGUACGACGCAAACUCAAGCACAGCUUUUAGACGAGUCAAACCCAAGAGACAAGCAUGAAGGAAAAGCGACUUCAACCUCUCUUUCCUUUGCAUUACUCUUCUCUGCUCAGGCUCCAUCGACCUGUCAGAGGCAUCAUUGUGAUUGACUGCCCUGGCAGAUGUGCUGCUAUAACAGGAUAGAAGAAGAUGUAAUUGAGAGCUGAAAAUUGUCACCCUCCUCUCUCAAGGCUUUUCAGAAACAAAUACAAA